rnacentral:rRNA from 1 species
GGGGGAUAUUGCGCAAUGGGGGCAACCCUGACGCAGCAACGCCGCGUGAAGGAUGAAGGUUUUCGGAUUGUAAACUUCUUUUAUUAAGGACGAAAUUUGACGGUACUUAAUGAAUAAGCUCCGGCUAACUACGUGCCAGCAGCCGCGGUAAUACGUAGGGAGCAAGCGUUGUCCGGAUUUACUGGGUGUAAAGGGAGCGCAGGCGGGAGAACAAGUUGGAAGUGAAAUCCAUGGGCUCAACCCAUGAACUGCUUUCAAAACUGUUUUUCUUGAGUAGUGCAGAGGUAGGCGGAAUUCCCGGUGUAGCGGUGGAAUGCGUAGAUAUCGGGAGGAACACCAGUGGCGAAGGCGGCCUACUGGGCACCAACUGACGCUGAGGCUCGAAAGUGUGGGUAGCAAACAGGAUUAGAUACCCUGGUAGUCCACACCGUAAACGAUGAUUACUAGGUGUUGGGGGAUUGACCCCCUCAGUGCCGCAGUUAACACAAUAAGUAAUCCACCUGGGGAGUACGACCGCAAGGUUGAAACUCAAAGGAAUUGACGGGGGCCCGCACAAGCAGUGGAGUAUGUGGUUUAAUUCGAAGCAACGCGAAGAACCUUACCAGGUCUUGACAUCCGAUGCAUAGUGCAGAGAUGCAUGAAGUCCUUCGGGACAUCGAGACAGGUGGUGCAUGGUUGUCGUCAGCUCGUGUCGUGAGAUGUUGGGUUAAGUCCCGCAACGAGCGCAACCCUUAUUGCCAGUUACUACGAAAGAGGACUCUGGCGAGACUGCCGUUGACAAAACGGAGGAAGGUGGGGAUGACGUCAAAUCAUCAUGCCCUUUAUGACCUGGGCUACACACGUACUACAAUGGCGUUUAACAAAGAGAAGCAAGACCGCGAGGUGGAGCAAAACUCAAAAACAACGUCUCAGUUCAGAUUGCAGGCUGCAACUCGCCUGCAUGAAGUCGGAAUUGCUAGUAAUCGCGGAUCAGCAUGCCGCGGUGAAUACGUUCCCG